AUUGAACGCUGGCGGCAUGCCUUACACAUGCAAGUCGAACGGUAACAGGUUAAGCUGACGAGUGGCGAACGGGUGAGUAAUAUAUCGGAACGUGCCCAGUCGUGGGGGAUAACGUAGCGAAAGCUACGCUAAUACCGCAUACGAUCUACGGAUGAAAGCGGGGGAUCGCAAGACCUCGCGCGAUUGGAGCGGCCGAUAUCAGAUUAGGUUGUUGGUGAGGUAAAAGCUCACCAAGCCUGCGAUCUGUAGCUGGUCUGAGAGAACGACCAGCCACACUGGACCUGAGACACGGUCCAGACUCCUACGGGAGGCAGCAGUGGGGAAUUUUGGACAAUGGACGCAAGUCUGAUCCAGCAAUGCCGCGUGCAGGACGAAGGCCUUCGGGUUGUAAACUGCUUUUGUACGGAACGAAACGGUGAGCUCUAAUACAGUUUGCUAAUGACGGUACCGUAAGAAUAAGCACCGGCUAACUACGUGCCAGCAGCCGCCGUAA
rnacentral:rRNA from 1 species